rnacentral:rRNA from 1 species
UACAGAGGUCUCAAGCGUUGUUCGGAUUCAUUGGGCGUAAAGGGUGCGUAGGCGGCGCGGUAAGUCGGGUGUGAAAUCUUGGAGCUUAACUCCGAAACUGCAUUCGAUACUGCCGUGCUUGAGGACUGGAGAGGAGACUGGAAUUUACGGUGUAGCGGUGAAAUGCGUAGAUAUCGUAAGGAAGACCAGUGGCGAAGGCGGGUCUCUGGACAGUUCUGACGCUGAGGCACGAAGGCCAGGGGAGCAAACGGG